UCCGGUGUGAUGGUGGAAACGUAUCUUUGCCAUGAGUUUCUUUGUGCCUCUAAUAUCCGCCGGCGACACUCGGAUCUUCGUUUUUUAAAUUCGAUUAAAUUCUCCAUUUUAGGAUGGCGACGGAACCUAUUUAAUGCUCUUUUCUUUAAUAAAAUUUUUUCUUUUAUUUCAGGUGACCACCACGGAACCAUCUUCCUUAUAUUGCCAGGUUUAGAUCUUGGAAUGCUGGCCUCGGCGGCAUUUAAAAUAGAUGAGGUUAGCGUAUGGAGAUUUACCUGGCUUGGCGGGACGAGCAGCCGUGUGAAAAGUUCCCAAUUUGCUUGUUGCAUUUUAAAUUUGGCUAUCGUUCUCACAGGAGUGUUCCUGCCUUGCAGGGUAAUAAUUAUGGGAAAAUGGUCGCUAUGAUGCAGAUCACUUUCCACUUCCCAUUUUACGCUUGCAUGUAUCGCCGGUGAACAUACCGAUAUAUCGAUGGAAUCGAAAGUACCGGAUCUCACAUUAAAGAACGUAGCUGAAUCAUCAUUCAACAAGCUUAAAUUUUUAUCCUCGAUCAGAUCCAACAACUCCCUGCCACGAGCAUCGUCUGAGCGGGAGCCCCAAACGGUGCUGUGAGAGUUAAAAUCCCCAACUAGAAUAAAAGGUGCCUGAAGCUGAUCUACGAUUUUACCAAUCUCUUGGACAUCAUAAGUAUUAUUGGGAACGUAAAUAUUACACAGUGUAAGAGAACUGCUAAUUUCAAGUUGUACCGCUACAGCUUGAUAAGGCGUAUCUGGUUUAACCCGUUUAUAAGGUAUGCCUUGUCGGAUGAGGAAGGCCACCCCUCCACAGGCUCUUGCUGGUACCAGGUGCGUUUCUUGAAGAGCAAUACACCAAGGAUUAUGCUUUUGAAUUAGCAGUUUCAGCUCAUUUAAAUUGUUGGAGAGUCCUCGACAGUUCCAUUGGACAAUUUUUGUUGUAUCCAUUAAAUGACAAUCACAAUUGAAUAAGCAACAUAUAAAUAUAAAUAACAAUAAAAUAACGGUGUAUAUGAGGACAUUCACAAUAAAUAUAUGUACACUUUUACAUAAACAAAUGAUAGACAAACAAA